CCUACGGGGGGCUGCCGUGAGGAAUAUUGGUCAAUGAGCGUAAGCCUGAACCAGCCACGUCGCGUGAGGGAUGAAGGUUCUCUGGAUCGUAAACCUCUUUUAUAAGGGACUAAAGUGCGGGACGUGUCCCGUUUUGUAUGUACCUUAUGAAUACGGAUCGCCUAAAGCCGCGCCAGCAGCCGCGGUAAUACGGAGGAUCCGAGCGGUAUCCGGAUUUAAUGGGUUUAAAGGGUGCGUAGGCGGCCUUUUAAGUCAGCGGUGAAAGUCUGUGGCUCAACCAGAGAAUUGCCGUGGAAACUGGCAGGCUUGAGUAUGAUAGAGGCAGGCGGAAUGCGUGGUGUAGCGGUGAAAUGCGUAGAUAUCAGGAAGAACCCCGAAGGCGAAGGCAGCCUGCCAAGCCAUGACUGACGCUGAGGCACGAAAGCGUGGGGAGCAAACAGGAUUAGAUACCCGGGUAGUC
rnacentral:rRNA from 1 species